rnacentral:rRNA from 1 species
GGAAAGCACGAGCCGGGAAUGGAAAGACCGGUACAAGCGGGGUAGGUGUACAAUAGGCAAAUCCGUUGUAUAAUCCGAAGACGAGAUGUGGAGCGAAAUAAAGUAGUGAAGCGUGUGAGCCAUGUGCCGAGAAAAGCUGCUAUUGUGUAAUGCGUGCCCGUACCGUAAACCGACACAGGUGGAUGAGGAGAGAAUCCUAAGGCCGACGGAAGAAGCAUUGUUAAGGAAUUCGGCAAAAUGACCCCGUAACUUCGGGAGAAGGGGUGCCUGCGAGAGCAGGCCGCAGAGAAUAGGCUCAAGCAACUGUUUAGCAAAAACACAGGUCUAUGCGAAACCGAAAGGUGAAGUAUAUGGGCUGACGCCUGCCCGGUGCUGGAAGGUUAAGAGGAGAGGUUAGCGUAAGCGAAGCCUAGAACUUAAGCCCCAGUAAACGGCGGCCGUAACUAUAACGGUCCUAAGGUAGCGAAAUUCCUUGUCGGGUAAGUUCCGACCCGCACGAAAGGCGUAAUGAUUUGAGCACUGUCUCGACAAUGCAUCCGGUGAAAUUGAAGUACCAGUGAAGAUGCUGGUUACCCGCGCCAGGACGGAAAGACCCCAUGGAGCUUUACUCCAGUUUGAUACUGGGAUUCGGUACUGCAUGUACAGGAUAGGUGGGAGACGAAGAAGGAUGGACGCCAGUCUGUCCGGAGUCGCUGUUGGGAUACCACCCCUGUAGUACUGGGUUUCUAACCAGUUGCCAUGAACUGGCAAUGGGACAAUGUCAGACGGGGAGUUUGACUGGGGCGGUCGCCUCCGAAAGGGUAUCGGAGGCGCUCAAAGGUUCCCUCAGAAUGGUUGGAAACCAUUUGAAGAGUGCAAAGGCAGAAGGGAGCUUGACUGCGACACCGACGGGUGGAGCAGGUACGAAAGUAGGACUUAGUGAUCCGGUGGUAUAAAGUGGGAUUGCCAUCGCUCAACGGAUAAAAGCUACCCUGGGAUAACAGGCUUAUCACUCCCAAGAGUUCACAUCGACGGAGUGGUUUGGCACCUCGAUGUCGGCUCAUCGCAUCCUGGGGCUGUAGCAGGUCCCAAGGGUUGGGCUGUUCGCCCAUUAAAGCGGUACGCGAGCUGGGUUCAGAACGUCGUGAGACAGUUCGGUCCCUAUCCGGCGCGGGCGGAGGAUAUUUGAGAGGAGCUGUCCUUAGUACGAGAGGACCGGGAUGGACGGACCACUGGUGUAUCUGUUGUCGACCAACGGCAUGGCAGAGUAGCCAAGUCUGGAAGGGAUAAACGCUGAAGGCAUCUAAGCGUGAAGCCCCCCUCAAGAUGAGAUAUCCCUCCUUCGGGAGUAAGACCCCUUGAAGACUACAAGGUAGAUAGGGCAGAGGUGGAAGCAUGGCAACAUGUGGAGCUGACUGUUACUAAUAGGUCGAGGGCUC